UUUCCAGCCUGCCAGGACCUCAAAAUGCCAAAAAAAAAAAAAAGAUCCUGGAGACACCAGGGAUCCUGCUGGCUGGACUGCUGCCUGGAGCAGGCGCCUCCCAGAGACUGCCUAAAAUGGUGGGUCUCUCCGGAGCAUUUGACAUGAUGUUGACAGGCAAGAACAUUGGGGCUGAGAGAGCCGAGAAGACGGAUCUAGUGCUCCAGCUUGUGGACCCUCUAGGUAUGCUAUGGAGCCUGCGGACGAGAGGACUGUUGAGUACCUUGAGGAAGCUGCAGCGGGUGUGGCCAUGGGAAUCGCCAACAAGAAGGUUCCCCUUACAAAGGAGAAGAGCCUCAUGCAGAGUGAAGGUCUCUUACCGUGGGCCAGGCGGACCAGAGUGGGCAGACGGAACUUGCUGACCACCGCGUCCAACGGCAGCGCCAACGGGCUCCAAGUGAUCUCCGACAGGCUCGCCGACAACUUCUCCAUCCUCCCGGGUCAUCACGGUACCGGAGAUAAU